rnacentral:rRNA from 1 species
UAGGGAAUCUUCGGCAAUGGGGGCAACCCUGACCGAGCAACGCCGCGUGAGUGAAGAAGGUUUUCGGAUCGUAAAGCUCUGUUGUAAGAGAAGAACGUGUGUGAGAGUGGAAAGUUCACACAGUGACGGUAACUUACCAGAAAGGGACGGCUAACUACGUGCCAGCAGCCGCGGUAAUACGUAGGUCCCGAGCGUUGUCCGGAUUUAUUGGGCGUAAAGCGAGCGCAGGCGGUUUAAUAAGUCUGAAGUUAAAGGCAGUGGCUUAACCAUUGUUCGCUUUGGAAACUGUUAAACUUGAGUGCAGAAGGGGAGAGUGGAAUUCCAUGUGUAGCGGUGAAAUGCGUAGAUAUAUGGAGGAACACCGGUGGCGAAAGCGGCUCUCUGGUCUGCAACUGACGCUGAGGCUCGAAAGCGUGGGGAGCAAACAGG